rnacentral:rRNA from 1 species
GAUGAACGCUAGCUACAGGCUUAACACAUGCAAGUCGAGGGGAAACGACAUCGAAAGCUUGCUUUUGAUGGGCGUCGACCGGCGCACGGGUGAGUAACGCGUAUCCAACCUGCCCAUCACUUGGGAAUAACCUUGCGAAAGUAAGACUAAUACCCAAUGACAUCCCACGAAGACAUCUGAAUGGGAUUAAAGAUUUAUCGGUGAUGGAUGGGGAUGCGUCUGAUUAGCUUGUUGGCGGGGUAACGGCCCACCAAGGCAAUGAUCAGUAGGGGUUCUGAGAGGAAGGUCCCCGACAUUGGAACUGAGACACGGUCCAAACUCGUACGGGAGGCAGCAGUGAGGAAUAUUGGUCAAUGGGCGAGAGCCUGAACCAGCCAAGUAGCGUGCAGGAUGACGGCCCUAUGGGUUGUAAACUGCUUUUAUAAGGGAAUAAAGUGGGUCUCGGGAGACUUUUUGCAGGUACCUUAUGAAUAAGGACCGGCUAAUUCCGUG